AAAGAUCUUUUCCCAAUCUGUUGGUUGCUGUUUUGUCCUAAUGACAGUGCCCUUUGCCUUACAGAAGCUUUGCAAUUUUAUGAGUUUCCAUUUGUCGAAUUUUUUUUUUUUUUACUUAAAGAAGGCAGAGUUUAUUUCAGCCUACAUUUCCACGUCAUAAUUCAACACUGAGAAAAGUUGGGGCAGGAACCUGGAACCAGAAACUGAAGGAGAGGCUAUGGAGGGGGAUCCUUAAUGGCUUGCCCCUCAUGCUUGCUUAGGUGUCUUUUUCAUACAAGUCAGGGCCAUUUGCUGAGGAGUGGGUGGCAUCACGGACAGUGGGCUGGCCCCUCCCACAUUAAUCAUUAAUCAAGAAAACCACCUAUAAAACUGACUAAAGGCCAAUCUAUGGAGGCAGUUUUCUCAGCUGAGGUUUCCUAUUCCCAGAUGACCCUGACUUGUAUCAAAUUGACACACAAUAAAAUAAUUAAAAAAUAAUAAAAACCAACAAAAAUUUGUCCCAGCUAUGUAUACAAAGGUGACUGGAUAAAGAACCUGUGAUGUACAUACAAUGGCAUAGUAUUCAUUUGUAAAAAUAAGGUGUGCAGCAGC
rnacentral:lncRNA from 1 species